AGCAGUAGCCGCGGGAAAACAGAGGGUGCGAGCGUUAAUCGGAUUUACUGGGCGUAAAGCGUGCGUAGGCGGCUUCUUAAGUCGGAUGUGAAAUCCCUGAGCUUAACUUAGGAAUUGCAUUCGAUACUGGGAAGCUAGAGUAUGGGAGAGGAUGGUAGAAUUCCAGGUGUAGCGGUGAAAUGCGUAGAGAUCUGGAGGAAUACCGAUGGCGAAGGCAGCCAUCUGGCCUAAUACUGACGCUGAGGUACGAAAGCAUGGGGAGCAAACAGGAUUAGAUACCCCUGUAGUCCCUGUCUCUUAUAC
rnacentral:rRNA from 1 species